CACUGAACUGAAUCAGGUUAAUGAGCAGGUUUAAUGCUCGGAUUUUUAGCUGAACUUGCGCUUCUUGAAGUUUUAAUACAGAACACAGACUAACAUAAACAAGAUGCAUGAACCCCAUCUAAUCUGGAAAAAAAACAUAUUGAGAUCAGCAGUUUCUGAGAUACUCACACCAGCCUGUCUGUUAUCCUGUAUCUGCAUGAUUUCAUGCGCUGUGCUGCUGUCAGAUGAUUGGAUGAUUGGAUGACAGCAUGAAUAAGUGUUCCUAAUGGUUCCUAAAAGGUUGGUGAGUGUAUAUUAUAUUUACAUUAUUUAUUUAGUCAAUGAGCUUUGCCCGCGGUUUACUGCAUUUCUUUUGUUUUUUUGUUACUAGCAGAUUGAAUCAAAUCUGAUCAUUUUGUUUGACAUUUCUACCUUUUUUUGAGAUCAGACAUUUCAAUUCAACAGAAAAGUGCUUGGAUGGAAACACAGCUAUAUAAACACUAUCCAUAUAAAACCAACAACCUACAAAUAAGUGAAUCUAUUUCACUCUGAGUUACAAUCUAUCUGAGUGAGCACUGAGUGAUUCAACAAAUGACCGGGGGACUGAAUAGAAAGCCACGUGUUGUUAAGAUGUGCUGAUCAAUAAAAUAUGAACAUGAUCCAAAGCCAAAAAAAAAUAAAAAUAAAAUAA